CUCCUUUCCCCAGCAACAGGACACUGUAUUGGGAGCGGAGACAGUUGGUCUCCCUCCCCAUAGGCUGGAAGUAUAUAUGGGAGAGGAGCUUGUUACCGCCUCUCCCCAGCCGCAGCGUGAUUUGCAGGGAAUUCCCCAUUCUCCAUUCCCCAGCGGCAGUGUGAUCUGCAGGAAAUUGGGAGCCCAGUCUCCAUUCCCCAGCGGCAGUGUGAUCUACAGGGAAUUGGGAGCCCAGUCUCCAUUCCCCAGCUGAGCUACCGGGGGCAGAGACGGUUGGUCCUGUCCCCCAACAGCAGGGCUGUGUAUCUAAAGGAGAGACAG